UACGAAGGGGGCUAGCGUUGUUCGGAAUCACUGGGCGUAAAGGGCGCGUAGGCGGCUUUAUAAGUCGGGGGUGAAAGCCUGUGGCUCAACCACAGAAUUGCCUUCGAUACUGUAGAGCUUGAGACCGGAAGAGGUAAGUGGAACUGCGAGUGUAGAGGUGAAAUUCGUAGAUAUUCGCAAGAACACCAGUGGCGAAGGCGGCUUACUGGUCCGGUUCUGGACGCUGAGGCGCGAAAGCGGUGGGG
rnacentral:rRNA from 1 species